rnacentral:tRNA from 1 species
CGGGAUGUAGCGCAGCUUGGUAGCGCACCUGACUGGGGGUCAGGGGGUCGCAGGUUCAAAUCCUGUCAUCCCGA